rnacentral:tRNA from 1 species
GCGGGUGUAACUCAGCUGGUAGAGUACCUGCUUCCCAAGCAGGCUGUCGCGCGUUCGAAUCGCGUCACCCGCU